GACGAACGCUGGCGGCGUGCUUAACACAUGCAAGUCGAACGGAAAGGCCCCUUCGGGGGUCCUCUAGUGGCGCACAGGGGGGUAAAACGGGAGUAACCUGCCCUGGACUUGGGGAUAACUUCAGGAAACUGGGGCUAAUCCCGGCAAGGAAUCCUUGCGGCAUGGUGGGGGUUGGAAAGCUUCGGCGGUUUUGGAUGGACCCGCGGCUUAUCAGCUUGUUGGUGGGGUAGUGGCUUACCAAGGCUUUGACGGGUAGCCGGCCUGAGAGGGCGACCGGCCACAUUGGGACUGAGAUACGGUCCAGACUCCUACGGGAGGCAGCAGUGGGGAAUAUUGCACAAUGGGCGGAAGCCUGAUGCAGAAGCGCCGCGUGCGGGAUGACGGCCUUCGGGUUGUAAACCGCUUUCAGCAGGGGCGAAGCUUGUGGUGACGGUACCUGCAGAAGAAGCACCGGCUAACUACGUG
rnacentral:rRNA from 1 species